rnacentral:rRNA from 1 species
GACCGGCGCAAGGGUGCGUAACGCGUGAGCAACAUGCCCGUAUCAGGGGAAUAAUCCAGGGAAACUUGGUCUAAUACCCCAUAGUAAAUAUUAAAGGCAUCUUUAAUAUUUUAAAGCUUUGGUGGAUACGGAUUGGCUCGCGUGACAUUAGCUAGGUGGUAAGGUAACGGCUUACCAUAGCUACGAUGUCUAGGGGUUCUGAGAGGAAGAUCCCCCACACUGGAACUGAGACACGGUCCAGACUCCUACGGGAGGCAGCAGUGAGGAAUAUUGGACAAUGGAUGGAAAUCUGAUCCAGCCAUGCCGCGUGCAGGAAGACGGCCCUAUGGGUUGUAAACUGCUUUUAUAUGGGAGCAAUAAGGCCUACGAGUAGGUUGAUGAGAGUACCAUAUGAAUAAGCACCGGCUAACUCCGUGCCAGCAGCCGCGGUAAUACGGAGGGUGCAAGCGUUAUCCGGAUUUAUUGGGUUUAAAGGGUGCGUAGGCGGUUUGAUAAGUCAGCGGUGAAAUAUUUCAGCUUAACUGGAAGGGUGCCGUUGAUACUGUCAGGCUUGAAUUUAGUUGCUGUGGGUGGAAUGUGUGGUGUAGCGGUGAAAUGCAUAGAUAUCACACAGAAUAUCGAUUGCGAAGGCAGCUCACAAAGCUAACAUUGACGCUGAUGCACGAAAGUGUGGGGAUCAAACAGGAUUAGAUACCCUGGUAGUCCACACUGUAAACGAUGAUAACUCGCUGUCGGCGAUACAUAGUCGGUGGCCAAGCGAAAGCGAUAAGUUAUCCACCUGGGGAGUACGACCGCAAGGUUGAAACUCAAAGGAAUUGACGGGGGCCCGCAC